GCUUCUGAUUGGGACCUGUCAAAAUUUGACAAAAGGUGGUUUAUAUUACUCUCUGUAAAGGCUAUAAGACCAUCUCCAAGCAGCUUGAUGUUCCUGUGACUACAGUUGCACAUAUUAUUCAGAAAUGUAAGAUCCACGGGGCUGUAGCCAACCUCCCUGGACGUUGCCGCAGGAGGAAAGUUGAUGACAAAUGGAAGGCAUGGAUAAUAUGAAUGGUAACAAAAGAGCCCAGAACAACCUCUAAAGACGUUAAAGGUGAACUCCAAGGUCAAGGUACAUCAGUGUCAGAUCCGUCGUCGUUUGAGCCAAAGUGGACUUCAUGGGAGACGACCAAGGAGGACACCACUGUUGAAAACAAAUCAUAAAAAAGCCAGGCUGGAAUUUGCCAAACUGCAUGUUGACAAGCCAUGAAGCUUCUGGGAGAAUGUCCUAUGGACAGACGAGACAAAACUGGAACUUUUUGGCAAUGCACAUCAGCUCUAUGUUCACAGACGCAAAAAUGAAGCAUAUUAAGAAAAGAACACUGUCCCUACUGUGAAACAUGGAGGAGGCUCUGUUAUGUUCUGGGGCUGCUUUACUGCAUCUGGUACAGGGUGUCUUGAAUCUGUGCAGGGUAAAAUGAAAUCUCAUGACUAUCAAGGUAUUCUAGAGAGAAAUGUGCUGCCCAGUGUCAGAAAGCUUGGUCUCAGUCGCAGGUCAUGGGUCUUGCAACAGGAUAAUGACCCAAAACACACAGCUAAAAACAGCCAAGAAUGGCUAAGAGGAAAACAUUGGACUAUUCUGAAGUGGCCUCCUAUGAGCCCUGAUCUAAAUCCUAUUGAACAUCUGUGGAAGGAGCUGAAACAUGCCGUCUGGAGAAGGAACCCUUCAAUCCUGAGACAACUGGAGCAGUCUGCUCAUGAGGAGUGGACCAGAAUACCUGCUGAGAGUGGGAACCACCUUCACCCCACAAUGCUGCACAGCGGAAAAGCCCAACCAGAUGAGGCAGAUGGCCGCCCUCCCUGAGUCUGGGUCUGCCAUAGGAUUUUUCCUAUUAAAAGGUAGUUUUUCAUAUCCACUUUAGUCAAUUGCUGGAAAUUGUGUUUCUCUCCAUAAUGUAAAAUCUUGACCUUACUAUGUAAAGUUUCCUGAGAUGACUUAUACUUUGGUGGUAUACAAAUAAAAUGGAACUGAGGAUGGGAAAUAUAAAAAAUAAUAAGUCAUCGUCAAGUUAACCUUGAGCAUUAAAAUGUUAUAUUCAAAGUGACUCUAACCUUGGUGAUCAUUUCAAAUGAAUAAAUACAGACUACAGUCAACUGAGCACCCCACAGCAUGAUCACAUAGAUACUGUGCCUGAUCCAUAUCUAUCAGUGUUAUAAUUCACAUAAAAAAAACUUGUUUUUUCCAUCAUACCAGGAAUAGCAGUAUGAGAAUAAAAAACUUUUCAACAGGAAUUGACAGCUGAUAAAGCUGAAAAUGACUGCAUAAUUAGCAUUCGUAGUUUAAAAGCAUCAUUCAUGGUUACUUUUAGUGUUUUAAUUUAUAGGAUUUAUGUACAUUCAAUCUGCCGCAUGAGGAAACAAAAAUCAGACCGUAGUGUUCCAAUCAAUUCCAAAGUUGCAAAGCAGAACUUUUUAAGACAGCUAAUGUUUUCAGGGUGUGUUACUAUCCAUGACCUUAAAUAUAAUGAGCUGCUAGCAGUAGAACAGUACAACAGCAUUAUUUGAAUUACUCCACAAGUGUCCUUCUGAGCUAGUAUUCAUAUUGUCUCUGUGUGUUAAUCUUUAUGGCCUCUGUCCUGACUCAAGUGUUGUUCAGCAGUAGACUGACCAGUAGAUAAGGUUGAAAAAGAUGUAUGAACCAGGGAAAAUCAUUCGGGAGUAUUUGUCAAUAGCGUGCGUGUUCUGAAUAAUGUUGAGGGCACGCAGGCUCUUCUUCUUCUUGGUAGUGGUGGACUCACUACUCACUGACAGGUGGACCACCAUGUGUCCAGGUUUCUCUGGAACCUCAGGUAUUUCUUCCUGCUCUUCUUCAGGCACCAUGGGCUCUUCAGUGUAGCCAGCCAGGCUGUUGGUGUCAGCCUCGCUGUAGGUACCAUCCAACAUGGCCAUGGUCCGUGUUUGAGAGAUGCCACAGGUGCAGGGCAAUGACUGGGAGAAAGAAAUACACAGAAAUGUUAUGUGUAGCAUCAGCAUAAGCAAAACAUUUCUACUUGGCUCCAUGGCAGGGCUUAUAACAAGUUGGAUUUCUAUGAAAUUAGUUGUAGAUGUUCAAAGUCCUGAGAAGAUGGCAUGUGUUGAUUUUGACCCACUGGUCUUUCCUGUGGAGCUGUAAGACAAUGAUUUGAUGUAAUGCAAUGCAACUUCACUGCCCAUGGAGGGUUAUCCACUGUAACUGUGGUGACCUCUUAGUUUAUAGUUUAACACCACAAUUAGGUCAACAUUUACUGUUAACAAAUGGUCAAAAAAUUAUUGGGCUCCUAUGAAACAUUCUGUGGAUAUACAUGUUCCCCACAGGAUCUGUUUUUCUGAUGGUCCUGCAAAGCAGCAAGUCUUUGCAACUUUUGGCAUUUGAGUCUUUAAAACCAUUGCACAAGUACUGUAUGUAACAAAACUAGUAAAUCCAACACUGCUAAACUGCUAAAUGAUUGCAAAUCCUGUCCAUGUAAUGAUAUUGUAUUUACCUUUUCCUGGGCCAAAGAAAAAUAAAGCUUUGUUUGACUAUUUAAACUAUAAGAAGGGGUCUAUUUUAGGAACCAGCUGAAGAAGAGCAUAAAUACAUGACUGUUGCAAUAUGUUUGGAUCAGUUUGGACCGAAAUGCAGAACAAGGAUUACUUGUGACGAAAGACAGAUUUAUUUAGCAAAUUUUUUUAAAGGAAGCAGGGGCAGCUGAGGACUGGCUGUCUGGUGAUGAGUAACUGGAGAACAUGUGAACUGUCUGACGGUAAACUGAGGGCUGAGAAGCCAGCAACAAGGCACACAAGAGGAUCUACACGAGAACACAUAUAGCUGAAUACGUUAGGUUCCCAUGGCAACAUGAUGUAUACAGUGUGCAACACUAAUUGCACCACCUACAUCUGUCAUGCGAACUAAACUGUAAAACCAUUUCUAUAGUAAUUAACAUUUAAAGAACAAUUCACAGAUACUGUUUUGAUUUGGGGGCUGCACAGUGGCGUAGUGGUUAGCACUUUCGCCUUGCAGCGAGAAGAUCCCUGGUUCACGUCCCGGCUUUCCCCGGAUCUUUCUGCAUGGAGUUUGCAUGUUCUCCCUGUGCAUGCGUGGGUUUUCUCCGGGUACUCCGGCUUCCUCCCACAGUCCAAAAAUAUGCUGAGGUUAAUCGAUUACUCUAAAUUGCCCGUAGGUGUGAAUGUGAGAGUGCUUGUUUGUCUGUAUAUGUAGCCCUGCGACAGACUGGCGACCUGUCUAGGGUGUCCCCUGCCUUCGCCCGAGUCAGCUGGGAUAGGCUCCAGCACCCCCCGCGACCCUAGUGAGGAUUAAGCAGUGUAUAGAUAAUGGAUGGAUGGAUGGAUGUUUUGAUUUGUGCAGUUUUCAUUUUGGUUCCAUAACAAAUAUGCUGGUUGCUGCUGUUCUGGUGUUUUUGUUCAUCAAAACUUCUGACUAAAAACAUUUGCACGCUGCUGUUGAAAAUGAGGUUAAUGAGAGCUGAAAGACUGUAGUAGUAAAGCUGUGCACAGCAAAACCUAACCACUGAGUUGAAAGAAGCUUAAAAUGCUGUGUAGAGCUAAGCAGAACUGCAAAAUUUAUGAUCUCUGUGGUUUCCUAACUAUGAGUGACACAUAGAUAUUUGACGAGUUUUUGUAAAACAUUGAUAGCAUGUUCUUAAAAUAAAAAUAACGUUUUCUGGACAUGGAAUAUGCUUGCAGAAGGAAUUUUAUAAUUUCAUCAUUUGUCAUACUAUUCCUGUGAUAUAUUUAAAGAAAACUAACUUAAACCUAAUGCAGACACAACAAGCAAAUGUUGUAUCUCUAAUUAGCAUUAUUUUAUUUAAUGCUACAAGCACAAUCUUCUUUUAAACACUAAAACUAGAAAUCACAGUCCUGAAGCAUCACUAUUCAGUCAUGAAAAACCUGUAAAAGUCUGGGGAAAUUGCUAAAAAUGUCAAAAGCAGAUGUGCUCAUCAGUAUAAAAAAAAAACAAAUCAGAUUUUUUAGUUUUAUUUUAAAAAGCAUAUAAUAAUAAGGCUGAUGCAAAAAAAUUAUGUAAAAAUUUUCAACUGUAUGUGAGCAUAUGUGAGUGCAGUUAACUACAAUAUGUUUGAUUACAUUUGAUAACAAACAUAUCAAUUGUGGGUAGCAAAAUCUGCAAAAUGAUAACUUGAGGUGAAAUCUGUAUGCUUCCACUAAAUAUGGAUAAGAAUAACAUUGAUUUGUCUCUGAUAAAUGGACUGUGGUUAGUUUUUAAAGUACAGCAUAUCAAGUGCACCAAAUAUUUGGUCAUACAAAGAAAUGAAAAAGAGACCCAGUAGCCAAAAUGUGUAUAAACCAUGGCACCGACUGGAGAAAAUUCUAGCUAUUUGGCCCAUUAAAACUUGCUGAGUGAGCUUUAAUUAAGUGGGCAUAGUUUUAUUUUGUUAUUUUGCUUUUAUUCUUUUGCAUGUUGAGGGUUAAAACCAGAAAAAGGUUGAGUGGGCUAAUUGUUUCAAACCAAACAGCUGAAGGUCUUUCAUCAGAUGUUGAAUUUUCUUUCUCAACAUGUUGGUUACAGACACUGAUGGUUCUUGCCCUUUGUUUCAACAUUUGUUUCACUGAUGCUCCUGCUUCGCCCUGAAAGACACUCUGUGAGUGAAACUGCACAGAGUCAACAAGGAUGUUUUUGGAGUCUGAAGAGUUGAGUUUAUGAGCAGAGACAAUGAUGCUUUUUUUUUUUUUUUUUUUUUAAAUAUUUUUUUUGUCUCAAAACACCAAACAGCAUUUAGUAAGAUCAAACCUGAGAUCGUGCCCUCUCUCUCAUCUUGCGCUCCCGACGGUCCUGAACAGUGGACAGGUAGUUGACAGCAGCGUAUUCCAACACAGACAAGAAGACAAAGACAAAGCUAACCCAGAGGUAAAUGUCUACCGCCUUGAUGUAGGACACUCGUGGCAUGGACGCAUUCACUCCAGUGAUGAUAGUGGACAUGGUCAGCACUGUAGUAAUGCCUAGACACAAAAUACACAAUGCUCUAGUUAGUCUGUGGUGAGCUGCAUGUUAAGCAUAUGAUUGUGUCUCAGUAUUUAUUUCAGUAUCGGAAAUUUACAUCCUGUCUUGAGUCACGGAGCUGACUCAGUUUUGGGUAACUCUGGUUCAAGAUGGUGAAAGUAGUAUGUCCAUUUAUACAAUAUGAUGCAAUGCUGUUAAAUAGCCCUGCAAUAAAUCAACCCCCUGAGAAGCUCCCAGUCAGUCAUGGUUGCAACACCUUUAAAGCACCUAGUUUCUAUGCAGUUUAUCCAUAUUUCAGUCCUCUAAAUCUACAUGGUAAAACAUAGUGGGUGAAAUACUGCUGAAACACCAGUUAUGCUGAUUGUAUGAUCUAUGAUUCUAUUAGUAUCUCAAUAUCUCAAUUAGUAUCUCCGUUUAAUUCUGCCCUUAUACUGAAUAGCUUAGUAAAUGGACUUUGUGAAUACUGGUAUUACUGUUUUUGGAAGCAAAUGUGAUAAAAGCUGUCAAAUGUCUACACUAGAAAAUAAGAAGUGUCAUGUUUGACAUGUUGAUAUGCAUCCCUUAUCCACAAGGCCAGUAUGGGAGGGUGGGCCAGAAGGCAGACGAGGAAAACAACAAUAAAAUGCAGAGAGAAAACAUUUGACUAAACAUAUUUGGGUUUUUUUAGCCUUGUGAAAAAUUCCUCCAUAACAGCUUUAAUAAGAGUGAGAGGUUGAGCUAAGACAGGACCUCAAUAAGGGGGAAAACAGAUACCUGUUACGGCAUGUAUAGCAAUAGCCUAAAUCCAGAAGAUAGUUCAAAAAAAGAGUAAGAGUUGUAGAGUGUGGGAGGUUUGUGUGAUCACACAUGCAUGUGUAUAUUCCCUAUGUGAAGCCAUGUCACAGCCAGCCUUCAUCAUUUCACACAGACAGAUUUUCUUUAGGGCACACUGAGACUCUUCAAAGGAAAUGACAUGAAUUUUUUAAAUGUAAUUAUUAGUAUUCUUUUUUUACCCAAGGAAACUCUGGCUGGCACAGCCCGCCGGUCAAUCCAGAACGACACCCAUGAAAGCAUCACCAUGAGAGUGGCAGGAAAGUACGUCUGCAGCAGGAAGAAGAAGAUGUGCCGUCGCAAUGUAAAGUUGAUGUAAAGACGAUUAUACCAGCCUGCAAACACAAGACACCUGCUCAGAUGAGGGGGAACACUAAAGCUUCAAUACUGUAGACACUGUUAACAAAAAACAUCCAAAUUUUACAUGAAGUGUUAUUAGUAAAUGUCAAUUCUUUGCUCUCCCUAAAAGUUGCUGUACCAAAAUUUGUGACCUUUGAUCUCUAUUAUCAAAAAUAUGUACAUAAUAGCUUCUUAUACUUGCCCUGUCUGGUGGAACCCCAGAGAAGAUACUAAAUUGCUGUUGUCUCUCAACAUCACAGAGCAUUUGUUGUCUUUGCCCCUAAACUUUGGAAUAGUUUACUUACGCAAGACUUGCACCGGCAUGGCAAGCUAUUUUAACAUUUAUCGUCUGAGCUUGAUUUGAUUAUUGUUAUUAAAAUUACAGAUAUUAAAAUGGCAAUUUGAUAAUUGUAACUGCUCUCUAACUAGUCAGAAUUUUUAUUCCAGAUAUCCGUAACUUCAGUCUGACAAGUCAAAGCAACAUUUAAAUAAUCUGACAUUCAGCUUUGACUCAGCAUAAUAAUGGAUGCAGAUAUCUGUAAUGUCAUUAUGUUUGCUCUGAUUGCUGUGUUCAUGAGAGGUCUUCUAUUGGUAACUGGUCCAGCAAGACAUCUGAGCAGUGUUAGCAGUAGCAGUGGUAACUGCUGGGGUAGAUAAGACUUUUUAAAAAAGUAGGAAGAGGUCUUCAGCAAAGAGUUUGUAGAGAGAAGAGCUUUAUUUAUUCUACAUUUGUGAUCAAAAUUUGCUACAACGUUGGCCUCUGGCUGUUCUGACAUGAUGGUAAAACUGCUACCACAUGCAGUUACAACUGGAGUGCCAUAGUAUGUUUGAAAAGCCAGCUCAUUCCCUCUGCUGCCUUCUCUCUUGCACCACUUUCAGUGAUCAACCUUACCACCAGAGGCCUAUGCUUUGAAGCAGGAUUUGAGGUUACCGAGGUAACUUCAAAUGAACAGUGGUUCAGUUCUUACCGAGGUGAAUCACCAUGGUAACUCAUGCUGAACACAUAAUCUGAUCUGAAACAGAUUAUGUUCCAGAUUACAGAUCAACAUGCAUCAGCAUUCCUGGAAGAUCACACAGGGCUCAGUGCACAAAUAGUGACAGGGGACGACAAGCCUACAGCCUUGGUCUUGUUGAUCUUACAACUUUGCAAUAAGCCCAUUGUACUGGAAUCAGCUCUCAGUUUCCUUUUGUAUGUUCUGUAGUACCACCUGGUGGUAGCGGCACUUUAACAGCACUGAAAAGGAAGUGUGCUAAUGGAAACAGGAAGUACUAUUCCGGAAGUUCUUGUCAAAGUGAUGUAAUCAGAUUGAUAAUCACAGAGCAUCAAUCCUCUUAAUCCUGUGCUUUAAAGUUGAAAAACCAGAUUCAUUCUUAAGGGAUCAGCUAUUUACAACUACAUUAACACGUUUCUGUUACGGUUUCUCAGGUUAAGUACAAUAUGUUUGAUGAUGAUGAUUAGCUUUAGUAAACCUCAAAUGGAUGCAUUAGUACUUGGUAGUUUGAAGACAGGUGUGCAAUGUAAAUAGCAUUUACUGUUAUAUCUUCAUCUUUUAUGUUCCUGGACCUGGAUCCUGCUCUAGCUCCUGGCCUACUUUCUCUUUCUUCCAAUUUUCUUUCUUCUCCCUUCUUCCUCCUGUCUUUGUCAUCUGUCUCUUUUGUGUUUCUCUCUGUUUGUCAUCUCUCUCCCUGUUGUCUCUCUCUCCUUGUCUUGUCCCUCUGGCUCCCUCUGUUAGCGUCUGUCUGUGUGCCUCCCUUGUCUCACUCACCUGCCUGCACUUUACUGAUUGCUGUAAUGCACAUCAGCUGCAGUAAUUAGUUCACUCUGUUCACCUGUUCUCCACUUCACCUCCACCUAUUUAAGCUCUAUGCAUUCACUCAGUCCCCUUCAGAUCAUUGAUUCUGUUGCCCUCCUGGAUUCUGUUUCUGCUCACCAAGCCUGCCACCUCUGGACUGCUUCAGCCCCAUGGACUCUGCUGCUCUCCCCCCUCCUGGAUUUCCCCCUUCUUGGUUUCCGUUUGCUCUGACCUAUUCAUGGAUUUCCCCCCGCCUGUUUUCCCCCUCGGUUGUCGGUUUCCCCAUCUCGUGAGUACCCCUACCCAGCUUAGUUUUAAUUCAGUUCAGUUUUGUAAACUUCUGUUUUUGUAUUCAUAGAGUUAGUAGAGUUUUAGUAGUUGGUGUAGUUCUGUUCCCCCAGUUCAGUUCCCCAUUAAUGUAUUGGUUCAGUUGUUGGUUAAAUAAAUCUCUUUCUGUUAUUCA